rnacentral:rRNA from 1 species
AAUUCGAAGCAACGCGAAGAACCUUACCAGGUCUUGACAUCCUUUUGAAUGGUCUAGAGAUAGAUCAGGCCUUCGGGACAGAAGAGACAGGUGGUGCAUGGUUGUCGUCAGCUCGUGUCGUGAGAUGUUGGGUUAAGUCCCGCAAUGAGCGCAACCCUUAUCAUUAGUUGCUAACAUUCAGUUGAGAACUCUAAUGAGACUGCCAGUGAUAAACUGGAGGAAGGUGGGAUGACGUCAAAUCAUCAUGCCCCUUAUGACCUGGGCUACACACGUGCUACAAUGGCCGGUACAAAGAGUUGCGAAACUGUGAAGUUAAGCUAAUCUCAUAAAGCCGGUCUCAGUUCGGAUUGUAGUCUGCAACUCGACUACAUGAAGUCGGAAUCGCUAGUAAUCGCGAAUCAGAAUGUCGCGGUGAAUACGUUCUCGAGUCUU